rnacentral:lncRNA from 1 species
AUUCAACCCAGACUGAUCAUUGUUUAUCUGAUCAUUGUUUACCUAGCUGCUAGAUAACCAGACAUGUGAAGUCCAAAGAGUUAUGUUUUCAAGUACUAGCCUUGAUCAAAGGAAGCAUUGACUGUUUCAUGAUGUGCACUGGGGAAAGAUUGCUGUCUUAAUAAAAAUUCUUACAGUGCUCGUAUGCUAAUAAUAUGCUAAUAAAAAAAUAAAGUGUGAUUUUUCACUUACACUAAUGUUCUAUGAGUGGUAUAUCUGUAUACCACUGAUACAGAUAUACAGAUAAACCACUAUACUGAUAAGUCUUAUCAGUAUAUUUAGGACUGAUGUCAAAAAUAUUAUCAACUUUUAGAAGAACACAUAGUGGAAAAUUUAGGGAUGUUGUCAAGGCUGAACAGAGUGGCUCACAUGUAUUGAGUUCAAUGAGUGGUGUCCACCCUGUGUGUGAACAAAGACUACUCUGGGGAUAGCUAAAAAAAUCAAUAGGGUGUUACUAUCAUUCAGCUACUCAGUUACAAAGGCUCUUGCAGAGGUGAGGCUGAAAAACAACAAAGAUACCCAAAAAGAGUUCUAGGCCAUGCAAUCCCCAGUCAACCCUAAUUCACUCACAUCAAUACCAAGCACAUGUAAAAGGGCCAGGCCACUUAAGUCUUUAAGCCAGUUUCGGAUGUCCUCAAAACAACUAGACAUUUUACCCAUGGGUCAUAGACUGGCAUCUAGGCAAUUGGAGUAGGAUUUAUGUUAGGAUAGCAAGCAUAAAUAGAAAUGUCCCAGGCAAACUGAUAUGUAUGGUUACCCCUUAUACAUUAAUUUAAAGGAUUAGACUUUAUUUUUUAAAAAAGGUUUUAAGCAUAGUGGUGAAAUAAUGUGAUUUCCAGUUUUAGAAGCUCACUUUGACUGCCAUAUGGAGGAUGGAUUUGAAGCCAGGGAACCAGAAUGCAGGAAAAGCACUGAGGAGACUAUUACAGUCCAGGUCACUUUGGCCUCUACAGCCAUGCCAUUCCAUGACUGCUAACACACCGCAGUUUCUCUUCUAUAUGUUGAAGAAUUUGCUGAUGGGAAGGAUGAAACCCUGCUCUUCUGAGAAAUGAGAUAUAUAUCAGGAAAAUUGGCUUGAGUCAUUAUAUGAAAGGC